GGGACGAUAGCUCAGUGGUUAGAGCUUAAGUCUUAUGACCGGAAGCUCCCAGGAUCGAAUCCCGUCUGAGGCA
rnacentral:tRNA from 1 species